GUGCUCGCUUCGGCAGCCCAUAUACUAAAAUUGGAACGAUACAGAGAUUAGCAUGGACCCUGCACAAGCAUGACAUGCAAAUUCAUGAAGCAUUCCAUAUUUUU
ensembl:snRNA U6 U6 spliceosomal RNA